ACAAUGACACACGGACCUCAAACUCCACCUCCUGACAUAGACACUACAAAGCAGACGUGGGAGCAAACAGGAGGCCAAUUCAUUUUCAAGAUGAGAGGACUUGCACUACUCUUUUUGUUUGGGACUGUUGUGGUAGCGACACACAAGCCAGUUGUAAUAGAGAGUACAGACACAGGGAUAAGCCCAAUGGAAAAUGAAGAGGGCUUCAACAAUACAACCACAAACACAUCAACGUGGAAUGUUACCGUGAUGUCGCUGGAUAACCCUACUGAACUUCCUCCAAAAACUGCUGACAAUGGCACACAGUGGAAUGGUGUUGUGAGGCCAAUUGAAAACACUUUUGGGUUUGCACCAGAACCUGCUGACAAAGAGGACACACAGGUAA